GAUGAACGCUGGCGGCGUGCCUAAUACAUGCAAGUCGAGCGAACAGACGAGGUGCUUGCUCCUCUUACGUUAGCGGCGGACGGGUGAGUAACACGUGGGUAACCUACCUAUAAGACUGGGAUAACUUCGGGAAACGAGAGCUAAUACCGCAUAAUAACUUUAAACACAAGGUUCAAUAGUGAAAGACGCUUUUGCAUCCACUUAUGGAUAGAUCCGCGUCGCAUUAGCUAGUUGGUAAGGUAACGGCUUACCAAGGCAACGAUGCGUAGCCGACCUGAGAGGGUGAUCGGCCACACUGGAACUGAGACACGGCCCAGACUCCUACGGGAGGCAGCAGUAGGGAAUCUUCCGCAAUGGGCGAAAGCCUGACGGAGCAACGCCGCGUGAGUGAUGAAGGUCUUCGGAUCGUAAAACUCUGUUAUUAGGGAAGAACAAAUGUGUAAGUAACUAUGCACGUCUUGACGGUACCUUAUCAGAAAGCCACGGCUAACUACGUG
rnacentral:rRNA from 1 species